rnacentral:rRNA from 1 species
UGGCGGCGUGCUUAACACAUGCAAGUCGAACGGAAAGGCCCUGCUUUUGUGGGGUGCUCGAGUGGCGAACGGGUGAGUAACACGUGAGUAACCUGCCCUUGACUUUGGGAUAACUUCAGGAAACUGGGGCUAAUACCGGAUAGGAGCUCCUGCUGCAUGGUGGGGGUUGGAAAGUUUCGGCGGUUGGGGAUGGACUCGCGGCUUAUCAGCUUGUUGGUGGGGUAGUGGCUUACCAAGGCUUUGACGGGUAGCCGGCCUGAGAGGGUGACCGGCCACAUUGGGACUGAGAUACGGCCCAGACUCCUACGGGAGGCAGCAGUGGGGAGUAUUGCACAAUGGGCGGAAGCCUGAUGCAGCAACGCCGCGUGCGGGAUGACGGCCUUCGGGUUGUAAACCGCUUUCGCCUGUGACGAAGCGUGAGUGACGGUAAUGGGUAAAGAAGCACCGGCUAACUACGUGCCAGCAGCCGCGGUGAUACGUAGGGUGCGAGCGUUGUCCGGAUUUAUUGGGCGUAAAGGGCUCGUAGGUGGUUGAUCGCGUCGGAAGUGUAAUCUUGGGGCUUAACCCUGAGCGUGCUUUCGAUACGGGUUGACUUGAGGAAGGUAGGGGAGAAUGGAAUUCCUGGUGGAGCGGUGGAAUGCGCAGAUAUCAGGAGGAACACCAGUGGCGAAGGCGGUUCUCUGGGCCUUUCCUGACGCUGAGGAGCGAAAGCGUGGGGAGCGAACAGGCUUAGAUACCCUGGUAGUCCACGCUGUAAACGGUGGGUACUAGGUGUGGGGUCCAUUCCACGGGUUCCGUGCCGUAGCUAACGCUUUAAGUACCCCGCCUGGGGAGUACGGCCGCAAGGCUAAAACUCAAAGGAAUUGACGGGGCCCCGCACAAGCGGCGGAGCAUGCGGAUUAAUUCGAUGCAACGCGUAGAACCUUACCUGGGUUUGACAUGGAUCGGGAGUGCUCAGAGAUGGGUGUGCCUCUUUUGGGGUCGGUUCACAGGUGGUGCAUGGCUGUCGUCAGCUCGUGUCGUGAGAUGUUGGGUUAAGUCCCGCAACGAGCGCAACCCUUGUUCACUGUUGCCAGCACGUUAUGGUGGGGACUCAGUGGAGACCGCCGGGGUCAACUCGGAGGAAGGUGGGGAUGACGUCAAGUCAUCAUGCCCCUUAUGUCCAGGGCUUCACGCAUGCUACAAUGGCUGGUACAGAGAGUGGCGAGCCUGUGAGGGUGAGCGAAUCUCGGAAAGCCGGUCUCAGUUCGGAUUGGGGUCUGCAACUCGACCUCAUGAAGUCGGAGUCGCUAGUAAUCGCAGAUCAGCAACGCUGCGGUGAGUACGUUCCCGGGGCUUGUACACACCGCCCGUCAAGUCAUGAAAGUUGGUAACACCCGAAGCCGGUGGCCUAACCGUUGUGGGGGAGCCGUCGAAGGUGGGACUGGUGAUU